CGUCCUGUGCAACCGCACGAAAAUCGUUUUCAAGUAGAUUGGCUCUCACGAUUCUAGGCGAGUCUUCACAGAGGG
rnacentral:sRNA from 1 species